AUGAAAGGAAAUACGGAUAAGUAUGAUGAACGAAAGAACUACACGAAUGAAAAAAAAACUUGAUCCUCUAACUCGCUGCAGGUUUCCAGUCUUAGCUAUUCGGUUUGUAAAAUACACUUCAUUCGCUAAUUGUUUCCUUUCACUUACUUUAAAUUUCUCGUAUUUUCAGUCAAUUUCUUGUAAUUCCAUCAAUUCCCUCAAUUUCUAGUAUUUUCUUCAACUCUUAUUAAUUACCGGAUACUUCGGCAACUACGAAACUGCAGUAAUUUC